UCACCUCGUAGGCGCCCUUCCUCGCGCACGUUUGCCAUCUAUUUGCCCAAAGAUGAUCUGCUUCUCCAGACUGUGCUUCGGAGACCGCAUAAUAUGUCCGAAGAAGCUUAGGGCACGAUUCCGGCAUAUUGAGGAGAGCCGCGUCGUGAUCUUGAGCUCUUUUAAUAUGGACUCAUUCGUACACGUAAAAAGCCUUAAAUUACCAAGUAGAGAAAGUCCGGCAUGAGGUGAGCACGAAGUUUUGAAGACAGGAGUGAUUGUAUUAGAUUUCCUCCUGAGCAGUUGCACUACAAAUUUAGUGAUGAAGAGGCAAUACUUGACAGAAACCUUAAGUGGGAUGACAUAAUUAUAAAGAAAAUCAAUAAGAGGAUGAACUCUUUUAAUGUUUAUAAAACAAUAGUAUGGAAGAAUUUUCAUGCAUCUUGGAGCAAUGGCAACAUAUUUGGGAGUUGUGAGUGACAACGAGCAGAUUACAUAACAAUGGGAGGAUAACAAGGGCCUUAACUGAAAAAACUGGUGAAUGUUCCCAAAUAAACCUCACAGAUUUAGAAGAAACACAAAAUAAAUUUGUUUAUUUAUUUUAUUUCUGUUCCCUACUAAACUAGUAAUAAAACAUACUUUUUACAAAUA